rnacentral:miRNA from 1 species
UUUUGGAUUGAAGGGAGCUCU